AUUGAACGCUGGCGGCAGGCCUAACACAUGCAAGUCGAGCGGAGCGGCGGACGGGUGAGUAAUGCCUAGGAAUCUGCCUGGUAGUGGGGGAUAACGUCCGGAAACGGGCGCUAAUACCGCAUACUAUCAGAUGAGCCUAGGUCGGAUUAGCUAGUUGGUGGGGUAAAGGCCUACCAAGGCGACGAUCAGUAACUGGUCUGAGAGGCUGAUCAGUCACACUGGAACUGGGACACGGCACAGAAGCCUACGGGAGGCAGCAGUGGGGAAUUUGGGACAAUGGGGGAAACCCUGAGCCAGCCAUCCCGCGUGUGCGAUGAAGUCCUUCGGGUUGUAAAGCACUUUUGGAAGGAAAGCGGUACCUGCAGAAUAAGCACCGGCUAAGUACGUGCCAGCAGCAGCGGUAAUAC
rnacentral:rRNA from 1 species